GGGUAUCAUUACUAGAUGGUCACUUUGAUUGGUACAAAAAUUUAUUUCUGUACUACCGACUUAGGUUCAGACCUAUGAGAUCAUAUACAUUAGAGUUCAUGAUCUGAUCAGAUGGUUGAUCAACAAUUAAGAAUCAUUCUAGGGUUAAAUGAUCAAUACGAUUGACAUUUAACCUAGUGCAAGUGUUGCAGGAGGAUCGAUUAGU
rnacentral:lncRNA from 1 species